CGGGUGAGUAACACGUGAGUAACCUGCCCUUAACUCUGGGAUAAGCCUGGGAAACUGGGUCUAAUACCGGAUAUGACUCCUCAUCGCAUGGUGGGGGGUGGAAAGCUUUAUUGUGGUUUUGGAUGGACUCGCGGCCUAUCAGCUUGUUGGUGAGGUAAUGGCUCACCAAGGCGACGACGGGUAGCCGGCCUGAGAGGGUGACCGGCCACACUGGGACUGAGACACGGCCCAGACUCCUACGGGAGGCAGCAGUGGGGAAUAUUGCACAAUGGGCGCAAGCCUGAUGCAGCGACGCCGCGUGAGGGAUGACGGCCUUCGGGUUGUAAACCUCUUUCAGUAGGGAAGAAGCGAAAGUGACGGUACCUGCAGAAGAAGCGCCGGCUAACUACGUGCCAGCAGCCGCGGUAAUACGUAGGGCGCAAGCGUUAUCCGGAAUUAUUGGGCGUAAAGAGCUCGUAGGCGGUUUGUCGCGUCUGCCGUGAAAGUCCGGGGCUCAACUCCGGAUCUGCGGUGGGUACGGGCAGACUAGAGUGAUGUAGGGGAGACUGGAAUUCCUGGUGUAGCGGUGAAAUGCGCAGAUAUCAGGAGGAACACCGAUGGCGAAGGCAGGUCUCUGGGCAUUAACUGACGCUGAGGAGCGAAAGCAUGGGGAGCGAACAGGAUUAGAUACCCUGGUAGUCCAUGCCGUAAACGUUGGGCACUAGGUGUGGGGGACAUUCCACGUUUUCCGCGCCGUAGCUAACGCAUUAAGUGCCCCGCCUGGGGAGUACGGCCGCAAGGCUAAAACUCAAAGGAAUUGACGGGGGCCCGCACAAGCGGCGGAGCAUGCGGAUUAAUUCGAUGCAACGCGAAGAACCUUACCAAGGCUUGACAUGAACCGGUAAUACCUGGAAACAGGUGCCCCGCUUGCGGUCGGUUCACAGGUGGUGCAUGGUUGUCGUCAGCUCGUGUCGUGAGAUGUUGGGUUAAGUCCCGCAACGAGCGCAACCCUCGUUCCAUGUUGCCAGCGCGUAAUGGCGGGGACUCAUGGGAGACUGCCGGGGUCAACUCGGAGGAAGGUGGGGACGACGUCAAAUCAUCAUGCCCCUUAUGUCUUGGGCUUCACGCAUGCUACAAUGGCCGGUACAAAGGGUUGCGAUACUGUGAGGUGGAGCUAAUCCCAAAAAGCCGGUCUCAGUUCGGAUUGGGGUCUGCAACUCGACCCCAUGAA
rnacentral:rRNA from 1 species